AUCUGGCUGACUCAGUCGGUAGAGCAUGUGACUUCUGGUCUUAGGGUUGUGAGUUCGACCCCCAUGUUGGAUG
rnacentral:tRNA from 1 species